AUUGAACGCUGGCGGCAUGCUUUACACAUGCAAGUCGAACGGUAACAGGCCGCAAGGUGCUGACGAGUGGCGAACGGGUGAGUAAUGCAUCGGAACGUGCCCAGUCGUGGGGGAUAACGCAGCGAAAGCUGCGCUAAUACCGCAUACGAUCUAUGGAUGAAAGCGGGGGACCGUAAGGCCUCGCGCGAUUGGAGCGGCCGAUGUCAGAUUAGGUAGUUGGUGGGGUAAAGGCUCACCAAGCCGACGAUCUGUAGCUGGUCUGAGAGGACGACCAGCCACACUGGGACUGAGACACGGCCCAGACUCCUACGGGAGGCAGCAGUGGGGAAUUUUGGACAAUGGGCGCAAGCCUGAUCCAGCAAUGCCGCGUGCAGGAAGAAGGCCUUCGGGUUGUAAACUGCUUUUGUACGGAACGAAACGGACCUGGUUAAUACCCGGGGCUAAUGACGGUACCGUAAGAAUAAGCACCGGCUAACUACGUGCCAGCCGCCGCCGUAAAAC
rnacentral:rRNA from 1 species